rnacentral:rRNA from 1 species
UGCAGUCGAACGCAGUAGCAAUACUGAGUGGCAGACGGGUGAGUAUAAUGUGGGAAUCUGCCUUUUGGUUCGGAAUGACUCGGGGAAACUUGAGCUAAUACCGGAUAAGUCCUUACGGGGAAAGAUUUAUCGCCGAAAGAUGAGCCCGCACUUGAUUAGCUAGUUGGUGAGGUAAUUGCUCACCAAGGCAACAAUCAAUAGCUGUUCUUAGAGGAAGACCAGCCACAUUGGGACUGAGACACGGCCCAGACUCCUACGGGAGGCAGCAGUGGGGAAUCUUGCACAAUGGGGGAAACCCUGAUGCAGCGAUGCCGCGUGAGUGAAGAAGGCCUUUGGGUUGUAAAACUCUUUCGUCGGGGAAGAAAAUGACUGUACCCGAAUAAGAAGGUCCGGCUAACUUCGUGCCAGCAGCCGCGGUAAUACGAAGGGACCUAGCGUAGUUCGGAAUUACUGGGCUUAAAGAGCACGUAGGUGGUUAAAAAAGUUGGUGGUGAAAUCCCAGAGCUUAACUCUGGAACUGCCAUCAAAACUUUUUAGCUAGAGUAUGAUAGAGGAAAGUAGAAUUUCUAGUGUAGAGGUGAAAUUCGUAGAUAUUAGAAGGAAUACCAAUUGCGAAGGCAGCUUUCUGGAUCAUUACUGACACUGAGGUGCGAAAGCAUGGGUAGCGAAGAGGAUUAGAUACCCUCGUAGUCCAUGCCGUAACGAUGUGUGCUA